rnacentral:rRNA from 1 species
UACAGAGGUGGCAAGCGUUGUUCGGAAUUACUGGGCGUAAAGGGCGCGUAGGCGGCCAUCUAAGUCAGACGUGAAAUCCCCCGGCUUAACCUGGGAACUGCGUCUGAUACUGGAAGGCUUGAGUAUGGGAGAGGGAUGUAGAAUUCCAGGUGUAGCGGUGAAAUGCGUAGAUAUCGGAAGGAACAUCAGUGGCGAAAGCGACUUCCUGGACCAGUACCGACGUUCAGGCACGAAAGCGUGGGGAGCAAACAGG